rnacentral:lncRNA from 1 species
GGCGAGGGGCGGGCCGGGGGCGGCGCUGCCUCCGCGGCCGUGCGGGACGGCGGCGGGGCCGGGGCUGGAGCCGCGCCGGGGAGCGGGGACCAAGAGCGGAGCUGCCCCAGCGGGGCGGCUGCGGGGAGGGAGGUGCCGGGCUGCCGGUUGUGCCUGAACCGGAGCAUCCCGAGCCGGAGCGUCCCGAGCCGCAGCAUCCCGAGCCUGAGCAUCCCGGCGGCGUCGGUCGUCUGCUUUUCGAGGGAGGUCAAGGCUGCGGGUGUGGGGUGUUUUCUUCCUCCCCUGCCCCUCGGCCGGUGCGCGUUGUUGGUGCUCUCGGUGCGAGGCGGCCGAGCCGCCCGGUGGCCGAGCGCUGCUGCUCGCUGUUCCCGGCGCCGGGGCCGCUCGCUCCCGCUGUCCGGCGCCGAGCCGAGCCGCGCCAGCUGAGGCGGGUCCCGCCGCGUCCCCGGAGGCUUUGGGAAGCUGCUGAGCGGCCUGGAACAGCUCCCGCCGUGCCUCGUCCGUGGUGCUGCUCCGAGGGAGCAUCCUCAGCGGUUUGCCCGUCCUGUGCUGUAAUACCAAGGGCAUUUGAUUUUCACAAGCGUUUAAGCGAGGGGCUUUUCUCAGCAUGCAGUUGCUUUAGAUUUGGGCGUGAUCACCAGCCACAUCCUCCGCAUUGGACAUUCAGCUUCUAUUUCCAAACCUUCUUCCUGCUUUUCUGAAGAAUAAAAUCUUAAAUUGUCCUGGGCUCA